rnacentral:rRNA from 1 species
UCCUACGGGAGGCAGCAGUGGGGAAUUUUGGACAAUGGGCGAAAGCCUGAUCCAGCCAUGCCGCGUGAGUGAAGAAGGCCUUCGGGUUGUAAAGCUCUUUCAGCCGGAAAGAAAUCGCGCAGGAUAAUACUCUGCGUGGAUGACGUACCG